UGAUUCCCCUAGUAACGGCGAGUGAAGAGGGAAAAGCUCAAAGUUGGAACCUGGCUGUCUUAGAUAGUCCGGAUUGUAAACUAAAGAGCGUGAGUCCAGGCAAGCCGGUUGAUCAAGUCCUUUGGAAUGAGGCGCCACUGAGGGUGAGAGCCCCGUAAAUCGACUGAGCAUUUGUCUUUUGUGUCUCGCGUUCAAAGAGUCAGGUUGUUUGGGAAUGCAGCCUAAAGCUGGUGGUAAAUCCCACCUAAAGCUAAAUACAGGCGAGAGACCGAUAGCGAACAAGUACCGUGAGGGAAAGAUGAAAAGUACUUUGAAAAGAGAGUUAAACAGUAUGUGAAAUUGCCAAGAGGGAAGCAUUUGGAGUUAGACUGACUUGGAGUUAAUCAGCUUGGUCUUUGGACUGGGUGUACUUGACUUCUAUGUCUGCCAACAGCAGUUAGUCCUGAUGGAAAAAACUGAAGGGAAGGUAGUCCUUCGGGAUGUUUAUAGACCUUUGGAAAAUACAUUGGGAUUGACUGAGGAAUGCAGUAGAUGCUAUUAAGGCUUCGUCUAUUGGGUGUUAGGUAAAGGUACUUGGUAUUUUCAGCUUGCUGAUGUGCUAGGUUACUUGAGCUUAAUUGCCUAGUAGAACUGUAAUC
rnacentral:rRNA from 1 species